UUUUUUUUUUUUUCAUUUGUGAGACCCGAGAGACCCAAUUCAUUCCCUUCAAUUCUUUCUCCUUUUUCCUCAUCAUUCUCUCUCCUCUCUUUCGGAUCUCUUUCUCCCACCAGACCCGUCGAAGCUUCGACCACGCGUGCCCAAGCCCUCACACGACACCAUAGGCGAACGACGACACCAGAUUGUUCUUCUUUCCAUCGCUUUAUUAUUAUUGUGUGCUUUUGGAUUGUUCUUCUUUCACCACUGCUUUCAGUUUUGCUCUGCCUUUUAGGGAUAUUGCGUUUCGUCACCUCUGUAAUUCACCUCCUCUCUUCUUUCUUACCUCGUUGAGAUUUCAUUUCGCGGCUUUUCAUGUUCUGGUGCUUCGUUUGUUUUGUUGGAAUUCGUACAGUUACUUGGUCAUUUUGAUUCAGAUAGCACACUUGCCACAGCUAUGUCGGAUUUGCGCCAUAGGAUCCUUCCUCCAAAUUUUCUUUCGGAAAAUCCCAAGGAAGCUGGAUUCUGUCUAUGGCUACUUCAUCCCGAACCAUCAUCGCGCCCAACAACAAGGGAAAUCCUGCAAUCUGAAGUAGUUAAUGGAUUACAGGAAGCAUGUCCAGAGGAGUUGUCUUUAGCCAUUGACCAGGAUGAUGGUGAGUCAGAAUUACUAUUGCAUUUCCUUGAGUCAUUAAAAGAACAGAAGCAGAAGGAUGCCUCUAAGUUAGUGGAAGACAUACAGUGUUUUGAAGGAGAUAUUGAAGAAAUCGAGAGAAGACACCCUUCCAAACACUUGGCUCAUGUUGACUCCUCUGUGCAUGGAAAGCAAAAUGUAUCUGUUCACAGAGAGCCUUCUAGUUCAGAUAAGCUUUCUCAAUUGUCCCCUGUUUCUAACACAAGUGAAUCAAGAUUGAUGAAAAAUAUGAGUCAGCUUGAAAGUGCAUACUUCUCUAUGAGGUCCAAUAUUCAGCUUCCUGAGACUGAUGCAGUAGUGCGUAAAGAUAACGAGUUAUUGAAAAAUCGUGAUAGUUGGUAUUUGGCUCAAAAAGAUGAAGAGAAACAGAAUCCAAGUGACUGCUUGGGAGCCUUUUUUGAUGGCUUGUGCAAGUAUGCCCGUUACAGUAAAUUUGAAGUGCGCGGAGUCUUAAGAAAUGUUGAAACAGCUUUAUUGUGAAAAGGUGAGAUUUUUAAGUGAUCAGUUUGGCGAGCUUAAGAAUCUAGUUGAUAUUGGUGACAUACUUGGUGCAAGUGGCUCAAUUAAGCGAACUGAGAAAG